GCCCCUGUCGUUUAGUGGUCUAGGACACCGCCCUCUCACGGCGGUAACACCGGUUCAAAUCCGGUCGGGGGUA
rnacentral:tRNA from 1 species